rnacentral:ncRNA from 12 species
CGGUCUGGGAAUACAUAAGUAUUCCCGGAGGAUCUAUAGGAUGGUCGGGCCGCCAUCU